rnacentral:rRNA from 1 species
AAUGGGGGAAACCCUGAUGCAGCAACGCCGCGUGAGUGAUGAAGGUCUUCGGAUUGUAAAACUCUGUCUUUGGGGACGAUAAUGACGGUACCCAAGGAGGAAGCCACGGCUAACUACGUGCCAGCAGCCGCGGUAAUACGUAGGUGGCAAGCGUUGUCCGGAUUUACUGGGCGUAAAGGGAGCGUAGGUGGAUAUUUAAGUGGGAUGUGAAAUACUCGGGCUUAACCUGAGUGCUGCAUUCCAAACUGGAUAUCUAGAGUGCAGGAGAGGAAAGUGGAAUUCCUAGUGUAGCGGUGAAAUGCGUAGAUAUUAGGAAGAACACCAGUGGCGAAGGCGACUUUCUGGACUGUAACUGACACUGAGGCUCGAAAGCGUGGGGAGCGAA